UACGUAGGUGGCAAGCGUUGUCCGGAAUUAUUGGGCGUAAAGCGCGCGCAGGCGGUCCUUUAAGUCUGAUGUGAAAGCCCACGGCUCAACCGUGGAGGGUCAUUGGAAACUGGGGGACUUGAGUACAGAAGAGGAAAGUGGAAUUCCACGUGUAGCGGUGAAAUGCGUAGAGAUGUGGAGGAACACCAGUGGCGAAGGCGGCUUACUGGACCGGAACUGACGCUGAGGCGCGAAAGCGUGGGGAGCAAACGGG
rnacentral:rRNA from 1 species